CAGAAAGUAGUUUAAGAAAAAUAUAAGCUUUGGGAGCUUAAGAUAGAUAUUUUGCUUUUUCUGA
rnacentral:tRNA from 1 species